AACGAACGCUGGCGGCAGGCUUAACACAUGCAAGUCGAACGACCCGCAAGGGGAGUGGCAGACGGGUGAGUAACGCGCGGGAAUCUACAUAGUUCUACGGAACAACUGAGGGAAAAUCUAGCUAAUACACUAUACGACCUAAGGGGGAAAGAUUUAUAGGAAUUAGAUGAGCGCGCGUUGGAUUAGAUAGUUGGUGGGGUAAUGGCCUACCAAGGCGACGAUCUAUAGCUGGUCUGAGAGGAUGAUCAGCCACACUGGGACUGAGACACGGCCCAGACUCCUACGGGAGGCAGCAGUGGGGAAUAUUGGACAAUGGGCGCAAGCCUGAUCCAGCCAUGCCGCGUGAGUGAUGAAGGUCUUAAGGUUGUAAAGCUCUUUCAGUAGGGACGAUGAUGACGGUACCCACAGAAGAAGCCCCGGCUAACUUCGUGCCAGCCGCCGCUGUAACAC
rnacentral:rRNA from 1 species